CAGUAGCCGCGGUAAUACCGAGGGUGCAAGCGUUAAUCGGAAUUACUGGGCGUAAAGCGCGCGUAGGUGGUUUGUUAAGUUGGAUGUGAAAUCCCCGGGCUCAACCUGGGAACUGCAUUCAAAACUGACUGACUAGAGUAUGGUAGAGGGUGGUGGAAUUUCCUGUGUAGCGGUGAAAUGCGUAGAUAUAGGAAGGAACUCCAGUGGCGAAGGCGACCACCUGGACUAAUACUGACACUGAGGUGCGAAAGUGUGGGGAGCAAACAGGAUUAGAUACCCCCGUAGUCCCUGUCUCUUAUAC
rnacentral:rRNA from 1 species